rnacentral:rRNA from 1 species
UACAGAGGGUGCGAGCGUUGUCCGGAAUCACUGGGCGUAAAGCGCGUGUAGGCUGCCCUGCAAGUCGGAUGUGAAAGCCCUGGGCUCAACCUAGGAAGUGCAUUCGAAACUGCGGGGCUGGAGUCCUGGAGAGGAAGGCGGAAUUCUCGGUGUAGAGGUGAAAUUCGUAGAUAUCGAGAGGAACACCGGUGGCGAAGGCGGCCUUCUGGACAGUGACUGACGCUGAGACGCGAAAGCGUGGGGAGCAAACAGG